rnacentral:rRNA from 1 species
GGAAAGGCGCGCGAUACAGGGUGACAGCCCCGUACACAAAAAUGCACAUGCUGUGAGCUCGAUGAGUAGGGCGGGACACGUGGUAUCCUGUCUGAAUAUGGGGGGACCAUCCUCCAAGGCUAAAUACUCCUGACUGACCGAUAGUGAACCAGUACCGUGAGGGAAAGGCGAAAAGAACCCCGGCGAGGGGAGUGAAAAAGAACCUGAAACCGUGUACGUAC